UUGCCUGUAGCUCAGUGGACAGAGCAGCAGCCUUCUAAGCUGUCGGUCACUGGUUCGAAUCCAGUCAGGUGAGCCA
rnacentral:tRNA from 1 species